rnacentral:rRNA from 1 species
UACGGGGGGGGCAAGCGUUGUUCGGAAUUACUGGGCGUAAAGGGCUCGUAGGCGGCCAACUAAGUCAUACGUGAAAUCCCUCGGCUUAACCGGGGAACUGCGUCUGAUACUGGAUGGCUUGAGUUCGGGAGAGGGAUGCGGAAUUCCAGGUGUAGCGGUGAAAUGCGUAGAUAUCUGGAGGAACACCGGUGGCGAAGGCGGCGACCUGGUCCUUUACUGACGCUGAGGCGCGAAAGCGUGGGGAGCAAACAGG